rnacentral:rRNA from 1 species
CCUACGGGAGGCAGCAGUGGGGAAUCUUGCGCAAUGGGCGAAAGCCUGACGCAGCCAUGCCGCGUGAAUGAUGAAGGUCUUAGGAUUGUAAAAUUCUUUCACCGGGGACGAUAAUGACGGUACCCGGAGAAGAAGCCCCGGCUAACUUCGUGCCAGCAGCCGCGGUAAUACGAAGGGGGGCUAGCGUUGCUCGGAAUUACUGGGCGUAAAGGGAGCGUAGGCGGACUGUUUAGUCAGAGGUGAAAGCCCAGGGCUCAACCUUGGAAUUGCCUUUGAUACUGGCAGUCUUGAGUACGGAAGAGGUAUGUGGAACUCCGAGUGUAGAGGUGAAAUUCGUAGAUAUUCGGAAGAACACCAGUGGCGAAGGCGACAUACUGGUCCGUUACUGACGCUGAGGCUCGAAAGCGUGGGGAGCAAACAGGAUUAGAUACCCUGGUAGUCCACGCCGUAAACGAUGAGUGCUAGUUGUCGGCAUGCAUGCAUGUCGGUGACGCAGCUAACGCAUUAAGCACUCCGCCUGGGGAGUACGGUCGCAAGAUUAAAACUCAAAGGAUUGACGG